AUGAUGAAGCCGCAGCACGGCGCGGCCGGCGGCGGCGGGCACGGGCGGCGGACGCCGUUCCUGACCUCGUACGCGCUCACGCUCGCCUUCAUCACCUUCGUCUCCCUGCUCUACUUCAAGGACUUCUCCUCCACGCUCCACCAGCCCUUCCUCCACCACCCGCCGCCCCGCCACCGCCCCAGGCCCCAUCCCCAUGUCCCCAUGGGCGGCGGCAAGGUAGGGCCGGUGGUGGCAGAGAAGAAGGCCGCCGCCGCCGCCGCGGAGGAGAAGGAGGUGCUGUCGCUGCCGUUCGCGGUGGGGCGUGCGGCGGCGGGGUGCGACGUGUCCCGCGGCGAGUGGGUGUACGACGAGGCGGCGCGGCCGCUGUACCAGGAGGAGGAGUGCCCCUACAUCCAGCCGCAGCUGACCUGCAAGGCGCACGGCCGCCCCGACACCGCCUACCGCCACUGGCGGUGGCAGCCCCGCGGCUGCUCGCUCCCGAGCUUCAAUGCGACUCUGAUGCUGGAGAUGCUGCGGGGCAAGCGCAUGCUGUUUGUUGGGGAUUCGCUCAACCGCGGGCAGUACGUGUCGUUGGUCUGCCUCCUGCAUCGGGCCAUUCCUGAGAGCUCCAAGUCCAUGGAAACAUUUGACUCGCUCACGGUUUUCAGAGCAAAGGACUACAAUGCCACGAUUGAGUUCUAUUGGGCCCCCUUUCUAGCUGAAUCAAAUUCCGACGAUGCUGUUGUUCACCGUGUCACGGAUAGAAUAGUAAGGGGUACGGCCAUUGAAAAGCACGCCAAGUUUUGGAAAGGAGCUGACGUUGUGGUAUUCAACACCUACCUUUGGUGGAUGACCGGACAAAAGAUGAAAAUUCUGCAAAACUCCUUUGAAGAUCAGAACAAGGACAUCAAAGAAAUGGAAACAGAGGAUGCCUAUGGGAUGGUACUGAAUGCCGUGGCGAAAUGGGUCGAGAACAACAUGGACCCUAAAAGUUCAAGGGCGUUUUUUGUCACUAUGUCACCUACUCAUACUCAGAGCAAAGAUUGGGGCGACAAGUCUGAUGGAAACUGCUACAACCAAACAAAUCCAAUCAAAGAUUUGUCCUACUGGGGACCAGGCACUAGCAAGGGCCUGAUGCGGGUUAUCGGCGAAGUGUUCAGCGCUUCUAAGGUCCCCGUUGGGGUUGUCAACAUCACCCAGCUCUCUGAGUACCGCAAAGACGCCCACACCCAGAUAUACAAGAAGCAGUGGAACCCGCUGACCCCGGAGCAGAUCGCCAACCCUAAGAGCUACGCGGACUGCACCCAUUGGUGCCUCCCGGGACUCCAGGACACCUGGAACGAGCUGCUCUAUGCGAAGCUCUUCUUUCCUUGA
rnacentral:rRNA from 1 species